CCCAGAUGUGCACUUUUCGUAUCGCGAGGCAAAACAUAAAAAAGGACGACUCGAAAAGUCUGUACCGCAUUUCCAUGCCACACCGUUGCGACAGGAACGUCAUGCAUCAAACAGCUUCCCUUUCUCUCCUAGGAAUGAUAAGUGAUGCGAGAGUCAAAAGUCCAAACAAUAUUUACGACUCCGGUUCAUUGGCGUUCGAAUGUCUCGGAGAUUUUUCGGUUACGUAGAAUUAGUAUAUUCCACGCGAGAAAAAAUUCAGUGACUGGCAUAUAGUACUUUCUAUAUUAUUUUCUAGAAACUCACGCUCUUUCAUUUUUUUUUUUAGGCACGUCAAAUGCAGUAACUCGUUGCCAAAAGCGUUUACCUCUCGAGACGUGGAAUUGACAUUCUAAACGUACGGAGCGUCGAAGGAUUUCGGAACGACUUCACUACCAUCUCGCGCAUUACGCAAAAGUAAACACAGCCGAGCCAGUGACGCGAUGUCGAUCGAUUUUAUUAUCGCUCGGUAUUACGUAUCCCGACUGUGUACCGGUCAUGUAAACAGAAAUGUCCGAAAUGCCAGCAAUGUCGGAAAUCUUGACACGCUUCAAUGAGCCUAUCUUUCUUAAGCGCAUGGUGUUAUGGAUUCGGAUAUGACAAUAUUACCAGGGGAAUAAUCACGACUCUUAACAGUCAUAAGCUUCCAGUGGUGGUGCGGGACCCUUGGACGAACUACUCAUAUUAAGAGGAUCGAAUGGACGUCGACUACUGCUAGUAUAUCCAGCACCUCGCACGGCGGUCAUCGGAC